GGGAAGGUGGCCGAGUGGUUAUGGCGGAUGUCUCAAGUUUCAAAACUUUCAACUUGGUUAUAACUGGUUGUUGCAAACAUCUGGAGUGAUCCGCGUGGGUUCGAAUCCCGCCCUUCUCA